CAGUAGCCACGGGAAUACGUAGGGGGCGAGCGUUGUCCGAAGUUACUGGGCGUAAAGAGCGCGUAGGCUGGUCUUUAAGUGAGUGGUGAAAGGUUCGGGCUCAACCCGGACACUGCCUUUCAUACUGGGGACCUUGAGUGUGGGAGAGGCGAGUGGAAUGGUCGGUGUAGCGGUGAAUGCGUAGAUAUCGAUCGGAACACCCAUGGCGAAGGCAGCUCGCUGGCCUAACACUGACGCUGAGGCGCGAAAGCGCGGGGAGCAAACAGGAUUAGAUACCCGCGUAGUCCCUGUCUCUUAUACA
rnacentral:rRNA from 1 species